UCAUAUCAUCCUAAUCACUAUGAUCUCCUUUAUCAUCAUCUUCAUCUUCAUAAUUCUAAUCACCAUACUACUAUCAGCACAAUAUCACCAUCUGCAUUAUCCUCAUCAUCUUCUGGUCAGGAUGGAACCCACAGCUUUUAUUCCAAGAGCAGAAUAAUCCUCUCACUUCUGAGCCCAGGAGCAGGGUGGGAGUUUCUGUCUCAGGGUCAGCCGGGGAAGUUGUUUGGAAACAGUACUUCUUCAGGGACUAGUCAUUUAUUUUUAAAAUCAUGUCUUAUCGAUCCUCGGUCAGAGGAAACAAACGCAGCCUGAGCGAGUGGAGUCUCCACAGAAUCCAGAAAUGCCAGGAAGCCCUUGCUCCCCCUCCCUCUGAGCACCUUUGGCUCGAGGUAGCUAACACACGGGCCUCAAUCGUAACAUGAGGAGGAGCAUCCAAAGGAAAUUAAUUUCCAAAGCCUGCCGGUGCACCGCAUCUCAUUCAGAGUGGCCAGUGGCCACUUCCAAAGUUCAGCUCCUGUGGUGAGGUCAGAAAAAGUAAGCCUGUUGAUACAGGUAACUAAGGCAAGCAAUGACAAAAAAAAGCCAGACAGCUGCCUAGAAAUCAGGGAAUUAUUGGGACCAUUUGCUUCUUUUCUUUCUCGAAUAAAAUGUUUGUAAUACUCAUUGUAACAGCGACUGUGGCAUGGGGCCUGUCUUCUGUAGAGCUUUUGUGCUGUGGCUGCCGUGGAAACAAGCACAGCAUGAAAACUGGGAUGGAUGCUGGGUUCAAAUCCCAGCACAGCAGCCACCUCCCGGCUGGUGAGCUCGGGCCCAGCUCCUCAUCGCUCCCAUAGCUGCCUUCCUUCCAUGUGAAGCAGGCAUGCCACCACCCAGUACACUGGGAGCAAUGUGCCCAGACUCACAUGCUGAGUUGUAACCUCCACUCCCUCAGAACAUGACCCUAUUUGCAGUCUUUAUAGCAGUAACUGAGUAAACAAGGUCAUCGGAGUGGGCCCCAAUCCAACAUGACUAGUGUCCUUACAGAAAGGGGAAAUUUGGACACAGAGACACACACGGGGCUGACACCAUGUGACAAUGAAGGCAGAGAGCUCUCCGGAGAGGAAGGGCAGGGACAGUCAGCCAGCCACCAGAACCAGGAGAGGCAAGGAAGGACCUUGUCCUAGAGGGGGCCACAGGGGCAGCGUGGCUGGAGAAGUAGAGAGAAUAUGAAUGUCCACUUCAUAGAGGGACAAAUGGCCUCAAGUGUGUGUGUGACAGUAGAAAAGCAGCGAUUUAAAGCUGGGCCUGCAGCCUCAUGGCCCACAAGCCAACCUCUCUCAGUGAAGCCGGGAGACACCUGUCCCUCCAUCCCCAUUAGAAAUGUCUUCCUGGGCUGAAGCUAACAACUGUGCAAUUUCCCUGGCAGGCUUCUUUUGCGGGAAUGCAAAAAUACCCAAUGUGGAAAGCAAAGGAGGAAGGUGUUCUCACAUAAAUUAACCUGACAUCUUAUGUUUCAUAAAGUAAUUUCUAACAAGUACCAUUUUCCUGGAAUUAGGUUGUUUAAAUUUUAGCCCAAUUGUUCUCACUUACAUUGCUUAGCGAUAGUCAAAAGCAACAAGGCCCUCGGAAUUCACAGCAGUUAAAAGAAUGACUAGACCACUUUGAAUUCUAGAACAGUACGUGCACAUGAGAUAAACAAGCAUGAUUCUCUGAUUAUGCCCAGAGAGGGAAUAAACUCCAUCUGUGCAAUCUGGAACCUGCAGCACAGAGCUAACCAGCUGAGCUGUGUAUUAGAGUCAGUGAGGCUCCCAUCAAUGGAGCCUUACAAGAAUCAAUAUCCAAAGAAGAAUGGAAUGUCGGGCAAAGCUCCCCUCCCCUCUCCAGCAGGCUUGAGGAUGGGUAAGAAGACAACAGUGUGAGGGUUUCAGGUGCUGAGUGGUCCUGACAUCUGAGCCCCAUGUACCCAGAGCCGUCCCUAUUUCUUUACUGUCCUUCAAAGAUGUCAGUGCAGGGGCCAGGGGUGGAAGAGCCUGUGGUUUGCUGGGGGCGCAUCUUGGGCUGGCACAGUCUCAGACACCCUACGAGCACUUCUCCUAUGCUCUUCCACAUGGUUCCCGGGAGCAGCACUGUCACCUCCACCUUAGAGAUGGCCACUGUCACCUGCCCAAGCCAUUGAGAGACAAAGCACAGCCCCUGUCUACCUGACAGCGGGGUCUGUCUUCUUUCUUUCUACCACCACCUGCCUCCAGUAGAGGGAUUCCUCAGAAAUGACCUUCCAGGUGAAAAUCCAUUCAUCCCUCGCCCUCCAUCCCACCCCAUAAUACAGUGUAUUCUCUGAGGCUCUUUUUAGGAGCUGAGUUAAUAAAGACUGUCAAAUCCC
rnacentral:lncRNA from 1 species